CAUGAAUAGCUUGCUAAUUGUGUUUCUAGUGGCGGACGGGUUAGUAACACGUGAGCAACCUGCCUCGAAGUGGGGGAUAGCCACCCGAAAGGGUGAUUAAUACCGCAUGUGAUCUUCGGAUCAAAGGUGCCUUCGGGUAUCGCUUCGAGAUGGGCUCGCGGCCUAUCAGCUAGAUGGUGAGGUAACGGCUCACCAUGGCAACGACGGGUAGCUGUUCUGAGAGGAAGAUCAGCAACACUGGAACUGAGACACGGUCCAGACACCUACGGGUGGCAGCAGUCGAGAAUCAUUCACAAUGGGGGAAACCCUGAUGGUGCAACGCCGCGUGGAGGAUGAAGGCCCUAGGGUCGUAAACUCCUGUCAUAUGAGAGUAAGGCAUAAUAAGUUAAGAGCUAAUUAUGUUUGAUAGUAUCAUAAGA
rnacentral:rRNA from 1 species